rnacentral:rRNA from 1 species
UACGGAGGGUGCAAGCGUUAUCCGGAUUUAUUGGGUUUAAAGGGUCCGUAGGCGGAUGUGUAAGUCAGUGGUGAAAUCUCAUAGCUUAACUAUGAAACUGCCAUUGAUACUGCAUGUCUUGAGUAAAUUUGAAGUGGCUGGAAUAAGUAGUGUAGCGGUGAAAUGCAUAGAUAUUACUUAGAACACCAAUUGCGAAGGCAGGUCACUAAGAUUUAACUGACGCUGAUGGACGAAAGCGUGGGGAGCGAAC